CGUCCUCCCACAUAUUGCCUGAUUCCGGGUUGAGGUAGUAGUUUGUACAGUUUGAGGGUCUAUGAUACCACCCGGUACAGGAGAUAACUGUACAGGCCACUGCCUUGCCUGGGGCAGAGCUUUACCUACUGAAUGAAG
rnacentral:precursor_RNA from 11 species